CAGCCGUAAACGAUGCGCGUUAGGUGUAUCGACGACCACGAGUCGUCGAGGUGCCGAAGGGAAACCGUGAAACGUGCCGCCUGGGAAGUACGGUCGCAAGGCUGAAACUUAAAGGAAUUGGCGGGGGAGGCACCACAACAGGUGGAGCCUGCGGUUUAAUUGGACUCAACGCCGGAAAUCUCACCGGAUAAGACAGCAGAAUGAUUGCCGGGCUGAAGACUCUGCAUGACUAGCUGAGAGGAGGUGCAUGGCGUCAGUGACU
rnacentral:rRNA from 1 species